GACGAACCGUGCAAACGUUAUUCGGAUUCACUGGGCUUAAAGGGCGCGUAGGCGGGCGGUCAAGUCAGGGGUGAAAUCCUCCAGCUUAACUGGAGCAGUGCCUUUGAUACUGGCCGUCUUGAGGGAGGUAGGGGCAUGUGGAACUUCCGGUGGAGCGGUGAAAUGCGUAGAUAUCGGAAGGAACGCCGGUGGCGAAAGCGACGUGCUGGAUCUCUUCUGACGCUGAGGCGCGAAAGCCAGGGUAGCGAACGGG
rnacentral:rRNA from 1 species